UACGUAGGGGGCAAGCGUUGUCCGGAUUUAUUGGGCGUAAAGAGCGUGUAGGCGCCAGGUAGGUCCGCUGUGAAAACCCGAGGCUCAACCUCGGGACGUCGGCGGAAACCAUCUGGCUAGAGUUCGGGAGAGGAGAGUGGAAUUCCUGGUGUAGCGGUGAAAUGCGCAGAUAUCAGGAAGAACACCCGUGGCGAAGGCGGCUCUCUGGGACGGUACUGACGCUGAGACGCGAAAGCGUGGGGAGCGAACAGG
rnacentral:rRNA from 1 species